rnacentral:lncRNA from 1 species
AGGAUUCAGAAGCUACGGCAGCCAAAAAAAUUAAUUUUAGCGAAAUUGAUUUGGAAAAAGACGAACCCGUUGAAGAAACAGAUAUCACUAUUGUUUCUGAAGUCGUUCAAGCUGAAGAUAAAGAAAAGAACGUUGCAAGUGAAUCAAGUAACACCACUGGAAGUUCAACUUCGGUUUCCCAAAAUAAGAACCUUAGCAAUAUUGAUGGUGUAAAAACAAGCUACCAAAAUGAUUGUCCAUCAACUCCAUGCUCACCAAAUCAAUAUGUGACAGCAGGGCAGUUAAGAGAAGAAAGAACUUGGACAGAAAGGUAGUAAAAUUUUUAUAACUGGAGAGCAAUGGAGUGCUAUUAAAUCCAAAUCCACGUUCACGUCUAUGGGUAUUGCUCUUGUUAUGGCUACAUUUGAUAUGACAACGCUGUUGCGUAGUAAUUACAAAGGUGGUAAGUCAAAAAUAAAAAAACCUGAUGAUGACAAUGUCGUGUACAGUGCACUGGAUCAGAAUAUAAUUGCUGCGAUUAAAGGUAAAUAUAAAAUAAUUAUAGCUAUUUGUUUAGUAAGCCAUACUAAUAUUUGAAUUAAAAAUUGUAUUACAGACACUGUUAAAAGCCGUUUCAAGAGUACAUUUAACGAUUCUAAAUUUGGUUCUGCAAUAAAUAACAAAUUAACUGCAUUGAGGAGAGACCAUAAGCUGAAAAACGCAAAAGCAGCAGACGCAAAUCAGAAAGAGAGAGAGGAAAAAUAAAUCGAAGAACAAGAUGAAAUUUGAAAUGCUUUUGAGUUUUUUAUUUUACACUUGCUUGUUUAACUUUUACUUAAUACUAAUUAAUACUUACAUACUUUUUUAUAAUCACCAAUAUAACCGGUAUUGAUAAUUUUUUAUAAUUUUAAA